AGGCUGGGACACAGGGCACCAAGUCCCUAGGUUGCACACAGCACAGGGACCCUGGGGCCAGCCCAUGAAACCACUUUUUCCUCCUGGGCCUCCAGGCCUGUGAUGGGAGAGGCUGUCCUGAAGGUCUCUGACAUGCCCUGGAGACAUUUUCCCCAUGUUGCCAAAGCCAUUCAACAAGUCUCUAGGAGUUCCAAACUUUCCCACAUUUUCCUAUCUUCUUCUGAGCCCUCCACGCUCCUGUCCCGGUCCCUUCUCAGCUCAAGUCACACAUGUGCUAAGAGGCUUUUGGCUCCAAGUGGCUGGUAGACAUUGGCUGACAGAUUUGGGAUCUGAUAAGAGGCUGUUGAUUUCAUUCGUUUGUGCAAUGUCGGAGAUAAAUUUUAACAGUUAAAACAGGGAAGAAGAAUAAAAA
rnacentral:lncRNA from 1 species